AUGUGAGUGACAGGGGGAUUUUGUUAAAAUGCAGAUUCUGAUUCCGUAGGUCUAUAGUGGGGCUGGAGAUUCUAUAUUUCUAACAAGCUCCCAGGUAGUGCGGAU
rnacentral:pre_miRNA from 1 species